UGCACGAACUGAAGACGCGCGCAAUGCUGGGGCGUCGGCCGCUAGCACCGAUCCAGCAGGACCCGAGCUCGCGAAGCCAUGGAUCAGCACCGCCGGGUGGUCGCGAACGGCUCCGGGGGCCGCGCGGACCGGCGAGCCUUCCGAUUUCGAACAGUCGAUGUUGAUCUUGAGCGACCCUCUCGCCCUUGCUUGUAUACUCUGCUGCAAUUGCGAGAGCAUUGGUGGGAUCCAUUUGUCCGAACGAGUGAUGGGUUGGCUUAAAGAUUGCAGCUUUCGCUGCGGGUUCGCCCGAAUUGCAGCUGUCCCAGUGACGAAUAAGAAAGACAUGCUCGAUUGAUUUCGGGCGCUCGGUUAAGCAGAGGACGUAUGGGGUCAGGUAAGAUCUUUCUCUUGUGAAGGUUUUCUCUGGUGGGUAGGGCAUUCUGACGGGCGCUCCAUAGAAAGAUUCGAACUUUAGGAUAAGUGUUUAAUUUCCAUUGUCUUGUCCAAAAAGAUCUCAGAGUUUGGAAUGAGGUGGUGGCCGAUGCUGUUUGCUGUUGUUGGUUGGCUGAAUAUAGCUCGUUGUAGGCACUCUUAACUGCAUGAGUCCCAGCUCUAUUCCCUGUCCCGAGCAGCUGAUCCUCCUCUGGGUUUCUGUUUAAGAGGGAUAGCGAAAAUUUUGUCAGCUAUGUUCUCAUCAGAGAGAGUUCGCAACCUAUUCUCAUUCCAGGUUCUGUUCUCCUGAUUGAUCAAGUCCUCCACUCUCUGAGGCUCGUCAAAGUUUGCUGGCCCACCAAUUACACCCAUUUCCAGGUACCUCCUCUUGGAUCUUAAUUGAUUUUCCAAUCUUUAACUGCCCAUCUUUUACCUCAACUAAUGAAUCCCUGCCAACAAGUGUACUUUGCCAACCCCAAGAAGGAUGUGAUCCCUUUUUUGCAUUCCAAAAGUAUCCUUCAGGGAAGUAUAUUCCUUUGAAUAAUUGCCUCGAUAGGGCCGAUGGUGUUUGUGAGAGUCUCCAAGCUUGCUUAACCAACAUUGCUCUGUUGAAUGAGAUAAGAUCACGAAGGCCAAUCCCCCCACUAUAUUUUUUGGUUUUGAGAGUUUCCCAUUCCUUCCAAUGGAGCCCAGAUUUUGCCUCAUUUUGCUUCCACUAGAAGGAAGCAAUCCUUUGUUCAAUUGUUCUACAUACAUAGAUUGGGAUUUUGAAAAUGGACAUGGCAUAUUGAGGCAGGGCUUGCACAACUGUCUUGAUCAGUGUUUGCUUUUCUGCUUUGGAUAAAAGAAGCUCUAUUAUUGUGGUGGGAGAAGAAUCAUGUCUAGAUACAUAGUUUGUUGUACAAAAAUGGGAACAAGAUGAUAGAUGUUAGUGGCCUUUUUUGUCACUAGAUUGUUCUGGUUUUGUGUGGCUAAUUUCGUAUGAAGCUCGCUAUCUCAAUUUUCUUUCUUCCUUUCGAGAAUAUGUGUCGUUGCCCAACUGAACACGUAUUUCUGGGGGUUUGGUCAAUGAUGUGGACCAGAUUAUUCGGUUAGGAUUGCAAUUAUUUAGAAGACAGUGCUUGCUCCUCUUAUCCUUUAUUUUAGGGUCCGUGACUUGUCCUAUGACCACGAGCAAUUCUAUGCAAGAGCUUGGAGAAAAGUCACCUUGCUUUUCCGUUGUAUGGUUCAAGUCCACAUAAAAACAUUGAAAAAUCUUGUGAGAUUCUGUUUUCAAGGACUUCUGGUUUUAGUGUAAGUAUUUUCCUGAGAUGCAAUAGAAGAGCAAAAUUUGCCUAUCCUCAGCCUGGUGCAGUUAGUUCUGUCGUUUAUUUUAUCUCUACUAAAGCAAAACAGCAGGCACAGUGCUAAGUGAAAUACAUGGCUUGUAUGAGUUUCCAUACGCAUGUACCAUUGGAGAUUCAAAUAGUCAAAAGAAUCUGAGAAGAGCUGUUUUCACCAAUUUGCUGAACUAGUUUUCUGGAUGUAAAGUGAUGAGACACAAAUGGUUAAGGCAUAUCUGUUUUGGAAAGCACAUUUGAGUGGCUGUCUCGGGAUAUAUGGAUGAGAAGGCAAGCUCGUGUAAAUCCUAGGACCAGAUACCUCAAGUAAGCACCUGUGCUCUUGAUCUAAAUCUUGAGAUUCCACAAUCUUGUCCUAUAGUUAUUAUGUCUAAGUUGUGUAGUGCAUAUUACAUGCAUGUGUGUUAUCCAGUGACCAAACAGCAUGGAGUUGGAGGAAACAAGUAGGAGAGAAGCUUUGCCAGCUUAGCUUCUAUCUCUAAGGUUCUUGAGAGCUGGCAUAGAAGCGUCUUCUGAAUCUUCAUUGUUCAUAAAUACUAUGUAGAAAUACUGUGAUAACUGGUAAAUUUUGAAAUGUAGAGACUCUUCUUGCAUUUCACAGAAGGACUUCAAGUCCUGCAUCAGACAUUAUUGUGACUUAUAUUCUUCCGUUCUAAGCUAAACACAGAGGAUGUCACUACAAUGUACCUGAAACAAUAAUUCCCAAUAUGAGUGUUACAACAUUAGAGCAACUGCUGGAAUUUCUCAACAUAGUUCUUGGUACUAAAACCAUCCUUAGUGAGGAUUUUUUAUUUCUGGAAAAAUAUGCUGGCCGGCCCUGAAAGUGAGGUGACAUGAUUGUUUGAGUCCCAACUUAUGCCACUUUCGGAGACACUGGACAUAACAAUUCCUCUUCAUGUAUCUUUGGAAGAAUGAAUAAGAUUGUGCCAUUUUCUUUUUCAUGAAGUACCUGGUAAAUGGAAGUCAAUAUGUAAUUAGCACACAAGUCUUUUAAAAGGGAACUUAGCCUCCACUUAGCAUUUGAAUUUUUCAAAAAUGAUCAUCACUUAAGAUGCUAUUGUCUAUCUUGGAAGGUGGACAUCUACUUUGUACUACAGAAGAUGAGUGCGUUCUUUUCUCAUGUUGCAUAUCUCUGUGUUUGACUCUACAUGGUCGCCCAUACUAUCAUCAAUCUUAUCCUCUAUUGGCUUUGCCAAUGUCAAAAUCAUGCUAGGCAUGUUUACUUGCUUAAUAAAUAGGUUGAGCUCACGAUUUGCUUAUUCCUUGGUUUUCAUGAAUAUGAGGUUGUGUAUUUACAGUAAGGCAUAUGAAAUUCAACCAUGCAGUUCAGAUGUCAGGAUUUGCUAUUGAACAUGGGUGACGAUGCAUCAUUGCAUAUUUCACUCACUUUUAUUUCAGAUUAUUUACGACGAUCUAAAAUUUGUAGGGUGCAGACACGGUAGAUGGCUCUUUAUGUGCCAUUAUGGGUAUCUUCAGUUUCUUCACACAGUUGGUCGUUCUGUCUCCUAUCUUUUUCUGCAGGGGAUGCAUGUUUGCUUCGUAUACUAAAAAAAUGUGCAAUUAUGAGGUUUUGCCCUAUGCUGAUAUGAGAGUGAUAACUUUUAGCAGUCGGCGGUGAACUUCCUGGGCAGCUUAUCUCAUCCAAACAUUGCCAGGCUAAUGGGAUACUGUUUGGAGGAUAAAAAGCACUUCUUGUCCAUGACUUCUUCCAAAAGGGUACCCUAAAACACCAUCUCUAUGGAAAGGGGCUCGACCAUUAAACCGCUUCCAUGAGUCACGGAUUAAAUUUGCAGUAGGAGCAGCCAAUAAUCUGCAGAGAUUUCAAGCCCUCAAACUUAUUGCUGGCCUCAGUAUGUUUGAUGUUCGUUACUUAGAUUAAAUUAAGCAAUAUCACAUUGUUGUUACCUUUAGAAACUUGGUUCCAAAAUCUUCUCAGGUGCUGAUCAUUUAAGUUUGCGACAUCCCUCUUUUUGCAAUUCCCUCCUACAUUCUGGAAUCAGCAACAAUCUGAAACCUUAUGCGUUUAGGCUUUCAUUCCGGGACAUGGGAGUUAUUUAUGCAAAUCUACAAAACCUGUUUCGCCACCUGAGUAUGUUUUCCUUAUUUUUUGGUCGGGGGGCUUUGUUGUUGUGGUUCUCUAAAAAUACAUAUUCGCAGGCUACUCUUUUCAUAGUUAGUUUUAAUGCCAGUCAUUAGCCCGAGCUAAGCUUAUUGCA